CUGCUCUGUGAGCAAGAGCCCGUGCUGACACAAGGUCAGCUAAAUCAAAAACAACAAACAACAUGACAAUCCCAUUCCCGCAUCGUACUUGCCCACUCCUCAGAUAUCGCAGACAACAGGAAGCUGUGCAUCAUGAAGAUUACUUUACUUGUGGUGGUGAUUCUCUCUGUUCUUCUGGUUCUGGUGGACGCUUCGCCAAGUUUUAGGGCUGGUUCUUUAAACUUGAGAAUGAAGCGAAGCCAAUGCUGUUCCUGCAUACCCUUGGCUCCAGGCCAAAAACAUCUCACUUACGACUGCUGCAGGUGUCCUGAUAAACCCACACCUUGGCCUCGCCCUAAUUUUUAAAUGCCGGCCAUGCAAACAAAAGUGCAGAUGGACCUUAAUACUAAUUCCCAGGAGCUUCUGGUAACUGCAGAUUGAGGGAGAGUCUUAAAGCUAUGAAGCAUCAGCUCAUAAGACGAACUGAGGCAAUGCAGUAUUCCCCGUGUUUAAUGUUGUUGUUUUUGUUAUUUUACUUUAUAGUGUUAUCUGCGGGAAUGAUUGUAUAACCGCAUCAUUUAUUAUAGUUAGUCAUAGUUUUUCCUUUGUUAUUAUAUUCUGUGAUAUAUUUAAACUGAAAUAAAGGCUGCCAGAAAUAAGGAAAUUCUUGCUAAGUCCUAGAUUCCCACGUAAACUUUUUUGUUGUUUUCUUAAACUUUCUAAACCAGCCAACGAACCGCGAGCAGACACCCAUCCACCCAGACUCUGCAUCCACCUGCUUUAAUUUCAGUGUUCCGGCUUCACGAAAAAGAAUAAUAGUGCUGCAGUUUGCACUGGGAGGUAUUUUAAAACGCACUGGGAAAUGUGUUGAAUUUUCUCCUCUUGUUUAGUUUUGACAGAGAGAGCGCUGAUCAUUCUUUCAUCACAUUAUAAAUCUAUAAUCAAAACAACCUCAUUGUAGAGUACAGCUUUAGAAUUACUUUUCCAGAACAAAAUGAGACUGAGAUAAAUAAUGCCUCUUUUUAGCAUAGUAUUGUGAAAAUCAAUUAGGUUGUUUAGCCGUUAACAUUCUCGAUUCAGAAAUACUUAUGUGACACUAAUUACGCAACUCCUUAAUUCCAUCCAACAUUUCAUUUAUCUCAUUUCUCAUUACCUACAUUAAGAAUGAAAUUGUUUGAAGGUCUUUUUAAUUAACGGCAAUGCCAAACACGGUAAAGGUAAAUAAGACGUGAAGAUAAACGGGGAAAAAACGUUUUACAAUGAAAGCAUUUUCGCAAACUGUCGAGCAAAGAAAUGGAGAAUAGAAAGGAUUUUCAUCAAAGAGACAAUAACAUAAAUAAAUACAAUCAAAGAUAUACUGCAA